rnacentral:rRNA from 1 species
UACGGAGGGUGCAAGCGUUGUCCGGAUUUAUUGGGUUUAAAGGGUGCGUAGGUGGCUUAUUAAGUCAGUGUUUAAAGUCAAUAGCUCAACUAUUGGAAUGGCAUUGAUACUGAUGAGCUUGAGUAAAGUUGAGGUAGACAGAAUUGAUGGUGUAGCGGUGAAAUGCAUAGAUAUCAUCAAGAAUACCGAUUGCGAAGGCAGUUUACUAAGCUUUAACUGACACUGAGGCACGAAAGUGUGGGGAUCAAACAGGAUUAGAAACCCGAGUAGUCC